rnacentral:rRNA from 1 species
UCCACGCUGUAAACGAUGAGUGCUAGGUGUAGGUGGGCUCAUACCCAUCUGUGCCGAAGCUAACGCAUUAAGCACUCCGCCUGGGGAGUACGGUCGCAAGACUGAAACUCAAAGGAAUUGACGGGGGCCCGCACAAGCAGUGGAGCAUGUGGUUUAAUUCGAAGCAACGCGAAGAACCUUACCAGGACUUGACAUCCCAUAGACCAGUCUAGAGAUAGACUUUCCCUUCGGGGCUGUGGUGACAGGUGGUGCAUGGUUGUCGUCAGCUCGUGUCGUGAGAUGUUGGGUUAAGUCCCGCAACGAGCGCAACCCUUACUUUGUGUUGCCAGCAUUCAGUUGGGCACUCACAAGGGACUGCCGCCGAUAAGGCGG